rnacentral:lncRNA from 1 species
GGCAAGGGAGCGGGUGGGAGAGACUGUUGAACACCAAUGCAGUGGUAAUCAUCCCCUGUGGAAAUCUGGCAGCUGCUCCUUGGCUUCAUCCAGGCUACUCAGUCACCCAUGGCUGUUAGCGCUGACUUCUCAUCACUAUGCUCUACUGACAAGCUCAGGGCUGAGCUGGAUCCCAUUUGAAGGAGCCAGGCUUUCAGACCAGCACAUUAGGGUCUGA